rnacentral:rRNA from 1 species
UGGGGAAUAUUGCGCAAUGGGGGCAACCCUGACGCAGCAACGCCGCGUGAAGGAUGAAGGUUUUCGGAUUGUAAACUUCUUUUGUUGAGGACGAAGAAAGUGACGGUACUCAACGAAUAAGCCACGGCUAACUACGUGCCAGCAGCCGCGGUAAUACGUAGGUGGCAAGCGUUGUCCGGAUUUACUGGGUGUAAAGGGCGAGUAGGCGGGUUUGCAAGUCAGAUGUGAAAUACCGGGGCUUAACCCCGGGGCUGCAUUUGAAACUGUAGAUCUUGAGUGAUGGAGAGGCAGGCGGAAUUCCCGGUGUAGCGAUGGAAUGUGUAGAUAUCGGGAGGAACACCAGUGGCGAAGGCGGCCUGCUGGACAUUAACUGACGCUGAGGAGCGAAAGCGUGGGGAGCAAACAGGAUUAGAUACC